rnacentral:tRNA from 1 species
GGAGCGGUAGUUCAGCUGGUUAGAAUCUGGCCUGUCACGCCGGAGGUCGCGGGUUCGAGUCCCGUCCGCUCCGCCA